rnacentral:rRNA from 1 species
GCGCACCAGGCGAGAAUUUUUCACAAUGGGCGCAAGCCUGAUGGGGUGGCGCCGCGUGGGGGAUGAAUGGCUUCGGCCCGUAAACCCUGUCAUUUGCGAUCAAACCUCAUUAUUUAAAGAUGAUGAGCUGAUAGUAGCGAAAGAGGAAGGGACGGCUAACUCUGUGCCAGCAGCCGCGGUAAUACAGAGGUCCCAAGCGUUGUUCGGAUUCACUGGGCGUAAAGGGUGCGUAGGUGGUGAGGUAAGUCGGAUGUGAAAGCUCGGAGCUCAACUCCGAAAUGGCAUUGGAAACUACCUUGCUCGAGGGUUGGAGGGGGGACUGGAAUACUUGGUGUAGCAGUGAAAUGCGUAGAUAUCAAGUGGAACACCAGUGGCGAAGGCGAGUCCCUGGACAACUCCUGACACUGAGGCACGAAAGCUAGGGGAGCAAACAGGAUUAGAUACCCCUGUAGU